AAUAAGGUAGUAAAUGAGUGCACAUUGUGGUUAGUCCUGACAGAACGAGAGGGCAUCAGGGGAGGUCCCUCUGAGAGGUGAGUGGGGUGCUGGGGGAGCACUGCUCCCUCUGCCCGCAGCAGGUAGCCUGGUGGGAAGGAGUUUGGCACAUGUGUUCAGGGAGAAUGCAGGGAGCCAGGAGGACAGUUGGAGAGUAGGCAGCUGGGAUAGCACAGCGCCUACGGCCAUGCUUCUGGUGUCUGCUGCCCAUCCUUGGCCUAUCUCAGUCUGAAGAUGCUUCACUCCAAUCCCUGCCUCCACUGUUACAAGAGGUCCUUGCCUGAUGCAUCUGUAUCCUCAUGCGUGACCCUCCUCCUGUGUGCCUCUGCAUCCUUUUCUUGUAAGAACAUGGGUCGUGUUGGAUAAGGAAUCACCUACUCCAGUAUGACCUCACUUCACUCAUUUUACCUGCAAGACAGGAGCUCAGGAAAGGUUCAAAUUCCUGGACACACUUCACCAACCAUCUCUUCAUUUUCUGAAUUGGCUUCUGCUUUUGCAGUCUCAUCUUCAUCUAUCUGGGUUUCGUUCCUGUUCCUGAGGCUGGACAGUACAGCAGGGGUGAAUCCUCUGGGAACCACAAAGACACUGCACACCUCUACUGCCCCCUCUGAGCUCCGGGCCCUACGUGUGCACCCCCAUCCACUUCAGUCCUUUCCAAAAAGUAUCUGUCCACAGCAUGUUUCUUAGUGUAGCUGUUGUGAAUUGCUUUACAACCUCAGGGAACAAAAAUAGCCAGGUGAUAGAUAGACAAGUAGAUAGAUAGAUAGGUAGGUAGAUAGAUAGAUACAUAGAUACAUAGAUAGAUACACAGAUACAAAGAUACAUAGAUACAUAGAUACAUAGAUAGAUAGACAGACAAUAGCAAGUAUCCUACUUUAUUUACAGCUCACUGUUUUGGCUGAAAAACAGGCCCGUAUAGAAUAUAUAAAUUGUCACAAAAAAUAAAUGUAUACU